rnacentral:tRNA from 1 species
UCCCAGGUGGCUCAGAUGGUAAAGAAUCUACCUGCAGUGCAGGAGAUCUGGGUUCGAUCCCUAGGUUGGGAA